CUGGGAAUAUUCUUGCUGUUCUGGUUUUGUAAUCAUCAAGGCAGUCUAAACAUUCGCUAUGUUAAGACCACGCCUGUGUCCCGAGACCUAGUUCCUUCCCUAGGACUGGUUUUAUAAAUGCUGCUGAUAAAC